rnacentral:misc_RNA from 1 species
GUAGGUGAACCUGCGGAAGGAUCAUUAUUGAAUAAACCUGGCGUGGUUGUAGCUGGUCCUCUCGGGGACAUGUGCUCGCCCGUCAUCUUUAUAUCUCCACCUGUGCACCCUUUGUAGACCUGGACGAUAACUUUCCGAGGCAACUCGGUCGGGAGGACUGCUGGCUUUCACGAGUCGGCUUUCCUUGUAUUAUCCAGGCCUAUGUCUUACACAUACCCCAAAGAAUGUAACAGAAUGUAUUGUAUAUGGCCUAGUGCCUAUAAACUAUAUACAACUUUCAGCAACGGAUCUCUUGGCUCUC